GCUUGGAGGGAGUAUUAUAAAGGAUAUGUAAAUCUUUUAUAAAUGGUUGGCUAUAAUUAAUCCCUCAUGUAUUAUAAAAUGAUGAAACUGUCAACAAACAGUAAAGCAUAAAUGCUUUAUCAUUUUACCUUCUUUUAAACAUUUCUCUAAAAAAAAUGAAAACAUAACCAAAAGUUAGAAAAAACAAUCAUGUAGCUGAUAUGUAAGUUCCUACCAAGUUUAACAACCUAAAUUCUUAAUAGAAGUUAAGGUGAAUAUUUGCAUAGCAAUCGUCUCAAUUGUCAGCCAUUGUCUCUUUCCUUUUGUUUGUAGGCCCCAGCACAAUACCCUCCUUCUUCAUAGCCAUCAUUUUGAAUAUUAAGAACCCUAGGACAUGAUUAUGGAGGCUUGGUGGAAAGUCCUAUUUGCUUUCUUACUCAAAAUGAUUCUUCCUAAAGAAAAAUCCUUUAAUCAUCUAGUAACACUUAUUAGCCCCAAUACACCACAUACACCCAAAGUAUUUGUAAAAUUAUGUUUUGGAAUUUAAUUUUUUAAAUUGCAUUAUAUUAUGCGCUAUAUCACAAUUUAAAAAUAAUUGGAUCGAUCAUAAUUUCUAGAUUUUCCGUAAGAAAAAAGAAAUCUAAUCAAAUAAUGUUACAUGGACAACACACACCAGAGAUUAAUGAUCAAUAUUUUGAAAAUAGUAAUAGUAGUCUCUGAACUAUUGGAAAAUCUCCUUUUCUCCUCUGUGUUAAUAACAUCAUAAAAAUGUUUAAAAACUUUAUGCAAAAUAAAUUGAUUAUCAAGCAUAUACAAGUUCUCCCAUUGUAUUUGUUUCUGGGGUAGCCAUUACAGAUUAUCAAAACUGGUGGCUAAAAUCAACAGAAAUGUAUGCUCUCACGGUUCUGUUGGCAGAGGCUUGCUCUUUCUGACAGUUCUAGGGUUCAAGCUUCACCUCUACCUAGUUUCUAGCAAUUUAUUGGCAAUCCUGGAAUUCCCUGGUUUGUAAAUGUGUUAUUUCAAUCUCUGCCUCUCUUGUCUGCAAGCAAUCUUCUCC
rnacentral:lncRNA from 1 species